rnacentral:rRNA from 1 species
GAUGAUUCCAAGUGCGUUCGUAUACGUAUCGCAUCGUGCUUUUAUCGUGCAGAACCAAGUCCGUUGUUGAAAGUUUAGAAUUUCUGUAAGAAUUGUUUAGAAGAUUUGUUUGUUGUAAAAAAACGUGUGUAAGAAUAUUAUGUUAAUGAUCCUUCUUCUGUAGGUUUGAAUGCGGAAGGAUCAUUAACAUAAUAUUCUUACACACUGUUUUUUUACAACAAAACAAAUCUAUCUAAAAACAAUUCUUUACAAGAAAUUCUUAAAACUUUCAACAACGGAUCUCUUGGUUCUCGCAUCGAUGAAGAACGCAGCGAAAUGCGAUACGUAAUACGAAUCGCAGCUCUCGGAAUCAUCGAAUCUUUGAACGCACAUUGCACCAUUGGGUAUUCCCAAUGGUAUGCUUGUUUGAGCGAAUACUUCCCUAAUCCUCACGGAUUGUAUUGUGUUUGCACGAAAAUAAUGACGACAGUACUCUACAAAACGGUACCGUCAGUACACUCAUUUUUUUUCCUCAAAUCAAGUAGGACUACCCGCUGAACUUAAGCAUAUCAUGGGGGCGGGGAGGGGAAAGAAGGAUCAUUAACAUAAUAUUCUUACUCACUGUUUUUUUACAACAAAACAAAUCUAUCUUAAAACAAUUCUUUACAGAAAUUCUUAAAACUUUCAACAACGGAUCUCUUGGUUCUCGCAUCGAUAAAGAACGCAGCGAAAUGCGAUACGUAAUACGAAUCGCAGCUCUGGAAAUCAUCGAAUCU